GGUGGCUCAGUGGUAGAGUGCUUACCUUGCAUGUAUGAAGCCCUGAGUUUGAUUCCUCAGCACCA
rnacentral:tRNA from 1 species